CGGGCGUUAAGUUGCAGGGUAUAGACCCGAAACCCGGUGAUCUAGCCAUGGGCAGGUUGAAGGUUGGGUAACACUAACUGGAGGACCGAACCGACUAAUGUUGAAAAAUUAGCGGAUGACCUGUGGCUGGGGGUGAAAGGCCAAUCAAACCGGGAGAUAGCUGGUUCUCCCCGAAAGCUAUUUAGGUAGCGCCUCGUGAAUUCAUCUCCGGGGGUAGAGCACUGUUUCGGCUAGGGGGCCAUCCCGGCUUACCAACCCGAUGCAAACUGCGAAUACCGGAGAAUGUUAUCACGGGAGACACACGGCGGGUGCUAACGUCCGUCGUGAAGAGGGAAACAACCCAGACCGCCAGCUAAGGUCCCAAAGUCAUGGUUAAGUGGGAAACGAUGUGGGAAGGCCCAGACAGCCAGGAUGUUGGCUUAGAAGCAGCCAUCAUUUAAAGAAAGCGUAAUAGCUCACUGGUCGAGUCGGCCUGCGCGGAAGAUGUAACGGGGCUAAACCAUGCACCGAAGCUGCGGCAGCGACGCUGAUGCGUUGUUGGGUAGGGGAGCGUUCUGUAAGCCUGCGAAGGUGGCCUGUGAGGGUUGCUGGAGGUAUCAGAAGUGCGAAUGCUGACAUAAGUAACGAUAAAGCGGGUGAAAAGCCCGCUCGCCGGAAGACCAAGGGUUCCUGUCCAACGUUAAUCGGGGCAGGGUGAGUCGACCCCUAAGGCGAGGCCGAAAGGCGUAGUCGAUGGGAAACGGGUUAAUAUUCCCGUACUUGGUGUUACUGCGAAGGGGGGACGGAGAAGGCUAUGUUGGCCGGGCGACGGUUGUCCCGGUUUAAGCGUGUAGGUGUGUGUUCCAGGUAAAUCCGGUUCACUUUAACACUGAGGCGUGACGACGAGGCACUACGGUGCUGAAGCAACAAAUGCCCUGCUUCCAGGAAAAGCCUCUAAGCAUCAGGUAACAUCAAAUCGUACCCCAAACCGACACAGGUGGUCAGGUAGAGAAUACCAAGGCGCUUGAGAGAACUCGGGUGAAGGAACUAGGCAAAAUGGUGCCGUAA
rnacentral:rRNA from 1 species